AGUGACCUUAAGGACUAACAAGCAAUUCUUGAGACUCUAGAAGGGUACUAGAAUAAGGCAGAGCUAUGCUUUAUGCAUAGAUAAAACAUAAAUCAAAGAGGCGUGCAUCUGAGAUGGCAAGAAGAAUAUCUCCGUUGGAAUGGAUAUCCAUCAUCUGAAUGGAAAAUAACUCAUCUCGCAUGCAGCAAUUAGGGCAUCAAAAUCUACUAACCUGGCAUACUAUGGGUCGGAGAUGCAUAUUUCGUGCCGAAAAAAAGCAAGAUUAUUUUUGCUUAGCACAAAUCCAUCAUUGGAUCAUCGGUCGAAUGCUUUGAAAUAUAUAUAGAUAGAC
rnacentral:lncRNA from 1 species